rnacentral:rRNA from 1 species
CUAGUGAUUAGAGUUUGAUCAUGGCUCAGGAUGAACGCUGGCGGUAUGCCUAACACAUGCAAGUCGAACGAAAUAUUAAAUUUUAGUGGCGAACGGGUGCGUAAUACGUGAGAAUCUACUCUUAGGAAAAGAAAAACUAAAAACUAAUUCUUUAUAUACCAAAAGGUAAAAGGUCUAGUACCGCCUGGGGAUGAGCUCACGCCUGAUUAGCUAGUUGGUGGGGUAAUAGCUUACCAAGGCCACGAUCAGUAGCUGGUUUGAGAGAACGAUCAGCCACACUGGGACUGAGACACGGCCCAGACUCCUCCGGGAGGCAGCAGUGAGGAAUUUUCCGCAAUGGGCGAAAGCCUGACGGAGCAAUACCGCAUGGGGGAAGAAGGAUCUUGGUCUGUAAACCUCUUUUCUCAAGAAAUAAGAUCUGACAGUACUUGAAGAAUAAGCAUCGGCUAACUCCGUGCCAGCAGCCGCGGUAAUACGGGGGAUGCAAGCGUUAUUCGGAAUUAUUGGGCGUAAAGCGUCUGUAGGUUGUUUGCUAAGUCUGUUGUUAAAGGCUAGAGCUUAACUCUAAGAAGACAAUGGAUACUUGCAGGCUAGAGUAUGGUAGGGGUAGAGGGAAUUUCUAGUGUAGCGGUGAAAUGCGUAGAUAUUAGAAAGAACACCAGUGACGAAAGUGCUCUACUGGAACAUUACUGACACUCAGAGACGAAAGCCAGGGGAGCAAAAGGGAUUAGAUACCCCUGUAGUCCUGGCCGUAAACGAUGGAUACUAGAUGUUGUGUACAGCAGUAUCAUAGCUAACGCGUUAAGUAUCCCGCCUGGGGAGUACGCUCGCAAGGGUGAAACUCAAAGGAAUUGACGGGGGCCCGCACAAGCGGUGGAGCAUGUGGUUUAAUUCGAUGCAACGCGAAGAACCUUACCAGGAUUUGACAUACUACGAAUUCUUUUGAAAAAAAGAUUUGCCUUCGGGAGCGUAGAUACAGGUGGUGCAUGGCUGUCGUCAGCUCGUGUCGUGAGAUGUUGGGUUAAGUCCCGCAACGAGCGCAACCCUUAUUUUUAGUUGCCAGCUUGAAAAGUAUGUAUUACAUGCUUGUUGGAUCUUUAAAAAGACUGCCGGUGACAAACCGGAGGAAGGUGAGGAUGACGUCAAGUCAGCAUGCCCCUUAUACCCUGGGCUACACACGUGCUACAAUGGUUAAUAUAAUCAGUGGCGAGUUCGUAAGAAUCAGCAAAUCUAAUAAAAGUUAACCUAAGUUCGGAUUGUAGG